AAGUCCGACGCUUAACUGACUGAGACACGCAGGAUGACAGGAAUAUGAGGGACAAAACAAAACAAAAACGAUCUACAACAGAAGCAGAGGUUGGAGUGAUGCACUUCGAAGCUGGAGAAAGGGACCACGAGCCAAAGAACGCUGGCAGCCGCUAGAAGCUGGAAGAAGGAAGGAAAUGGAUUCUUCUCUGGAACCUUCAGAAGAAAUGCAGCCCUACCGACAUCUUGAUGUCAACCCUGCAACAUUCCUUCAGACUUCUGAUCCUCAUAACUUUCAUUUAAUUCAGUGAAAGCUUAACAAAGCCCCUCUCUUCCUCGCCGCUCACUGGGGGGUGAGCAGCCAUCUCCUACUUGGCAUCACGGCUGCCCUCGGACCUUUGGUGAAGCCCGAGAUCAUUAAAAAGAGGACCAAAAAGUUCAUCCGGCACCAGUCAGACCGAUCUGUCAAAAUCAAGUGCGACUGGUGGAAACCCAGAGGCAUUGACAAUAGGGUACCCAGAAGUCGAUGCCCAACACUGGUUAUGGGAGCGUCAAGAAAGCCAAGCAUGUGCUGCCCAGUGGCUUCUGGAAGUUCCUAGUCCACAACGCCAGGGAGCUUGAAGUGCUGCUGAUGUGCAGCAAAUCUCACUGUGCAGGGAUUGUCUACAAUGUGUCCCCCCAGAGACCCGCGAAGCCAUGGUGGAAAGAACAGCCCAACUGUCCCUCAGAGUCACCAGUCCUGAUGCCAGGCUGCACGACGAAGAAAAGUGAAUAGACAGCUCAUAUGCAUACUGUGCUUAUGUUAAUAAAACCAUAAAAGUACCAAGGCGGGGGGGGGGGGGGGGGAGGGCGGCGAAGGGACUUACUGAGGACUUGCUGAGUACAAGGCAUUAUGCUAGGUUCUGGGGUUUACAGUUGUGGUCCUUACCCUCAAGGCACUCAGAAUCCAGUAAGACAGAUAAGACAAUAGAAAAUUUCUGGGGCGCCAGGGUGGCUCAGUCGGUUAAGCAUCCGACUUCGGCUCAGGUCACGAUCUCGCAGUUCGUGACUUCGAGCCCCCGCGUCG